UGCUGCCCAAAUGCUCUUCCAGGUAAACGAAGGUAAUCCCUAGCAGUAGAUGGAUCGGUGCAGAGGAGGGCUCGACGAUGACCACCGCUAGUCAUGUGUUGGUUUUAUGAGUUAUAUUCUAUUUUAUUUGCAUUCAUUUAACAUUUAUCCUCGGGGUUAUUUUUUUGUAUUUAGGCUUGAACUGUUUUGGGUUUAUUUCGAGAUUUUAACUUGUUUAAUUUUGUUGAUUUAUAAACGGCGACACCACAAAUAAUUUUUGGAAA